rnacentral:pre_miRNA from 1 species
AGCUUUUUGAAUCCGUGCUGAGAUUUCGUCAAACCAACUCACUAGGGCUGAUCAGAAUUCCAAGAUAAGUGAAGUU